AGAGUUUGAUCCUGGCUCAGGAUGAACGCUAGCGGCAGGCCUAACACAUGCAAGUCGAACGGUAAGGUCUCUUCGGAGAUACACGAGUGGCGCACGGGUGAGUAACGCGUAUGCAACCUACCUUUAACAGGGGGAUAGCCCAAAGAAAUUCGGAUUAAUACCCCAUAACACUAUGAUAACACAUGUUAUUAUAUUUAAAACUCCGGUGGUUAAAGAUGGGCAUGCGUGACAUUAGAUAGUUGGUAAGGUAACGGCUUACCAAGUCUACGAUGUCUAGGGGGUCUGAGAGGAUGGUCCCCCACACUGGUACUGAGACACGGACCAGACUCCUACGGGAGGCAGCAGUGAGGAAUAUUGCGCAAUGGACGAAAGUCUGACGCAGCCAUGCCGCGUGCAGGAUGACGGCCCUAUGGGUUGUAAACUGCUUUUAUACAGGAAGAACCUCUUGUACGUGUACGAGAUUGACUGUACUGUAAGAAUAAGCAUCGGCUAACUCCGUGCCAGCAGCCGCGGUAAUACGGAGGAUGCAAGCGUUAUCCGGAUUUAUUGGGUUUAAAGGGUGCGCAGGCGGGAAAAUAAGUCAGUGGUGAAAUCCUGCAGCUUAACUGUAGAACUGCCAUUGAUACUGUUUUUCUUGAGUUUGGUUGAGGUAGGCGGAAUGUGUAAUGUAGCGGUGAAAUGCUUAGAUAUUACACAGAACACCGAUUGCGUAGGCAGCUUACUAAGCCAUAACUGACGCUCAGGCACGAAAGCGUGGGGAUCGAACAGGAUUAGAUACCCUGGUAGUCCACGCCGUAAACGAUGAUCACUAGCUGUUGGCGAUAAAUUGUUCAGCGGCAAAGCGAAAGCAUUAAGUGAUCCACCUGGGGAGUACGCUCGCAAGAGUGAAACUCAAAGGAAUUGACGGGGGCCCGCACAAGCGGUGGAACAUGUGGUUUAAUUCGAUGAUACGCGAGGAACCUUACCUGGGCUUAAAUGUAGGACGACGAUUCGGGAAACCGAUUCUCCCUUCGGGGCGGACUACAAGGUGCUGCAUGGUUGUCGUCAGCUCGUGCCGUGAGGUGUCGGGUUAAGUCCCAUAACGAGCGCAACCCCUAUCGUUAGUUGCCAGCGGAUAAUGCCGGGGACUCUAGCGAAACUGCCGGUGUAAACCGAGAGGAAGGUGGGGAUGACGUCAAAUCAGCACGGCCCUUAUGUCCAGGGCUACACACGUGUUACAAUGGCCGAUACAGAGGGUAGCUACCAUGUGAAUGGAUGCGAAUCUCGAAAGUCGGUCUUAGUUCGGAUCGAAGUCUGCAACUCGACUUCGUGAAGCUGGAAUCGCUAGUAAUCGCGUAUCAGCAAUGACGCGGUGAAUACGUUCCCGGGCCUUGUACACACCGCCCGUCAAGCCAUGGAAGCUGGGGGUACCUGAAGUCUGUUACCGUAAGGAGCGGCCUAGGGUAAAACUAGUAACUGGGGCUAAGUCGGAACAAGGUA
rnacentral:rRNA from 1 species